GAAAGGGCGUGGAAGAGAAACACGCCUGGGCUGGGAUAUCGGGCGGAUAGAAAUCUAUACAUUUAUUAUAGAAGGAACCCGGUAGGAUGCAGACACCAGAGAGCAGAGAUACUGCAAGCAUCCGCAGCCUCAGUUAAA
rfam:Lachnoclostridium sp. An76 An76_contig_4, whole genome shotgun sequence.